rnacentral:rRNA from 1 species
ACACGGAGGGCGCAAGCGUUGCUCGGAAUCACUGGGCGUAAAGCGGGUGUAGGCGGUCUAGCAAGUCAGAUGUGAAAGCCCACGGCUCAACCGUGGAAGUGCAUCUGAAACUGCUAGACUUGAGUGCCGGAGAGGGAAGUGGAAUUCCUGGUGUAGGGGUGAAAUCCGUAGAUAUCAGGAGGAACACCGGUGGCGAAGGCGACUUCCUGGACGGCCACUGACGCUGAGACCCGAAAGCGUGGGGAGCAAACAGGAUUAGAAACCCUGGUAGUCC